rnacentral:tRNA from 1 species
AAAAUCCGUCGACUUUAUAAGUCGUGAGGGUUCAAGUCCUUCCUAUACCCA